CGCCUAUGAUGAAACAAACGGUGUUUGCGCAUUGUAUGACAAUUCGUGAUUACAUUAAACACUACUGCCUUCCUUCUGAGGCC